CUCAACACUCAAAGGUACCAUUGUUUUGAGUUUUGUUGUUGAAGUCUUUUGAAAUCCUGUUUGCUGUCAUUCCACUCAGGCAUCUCAAGCCAGCACAUGAAAGAAGCCUGCAUGGCAGAGCAGGCAUGUCAGAAAUGAGGAAAUGAAAUGACAGCAUUGAUGGGCACCAAAAUAGAAACUUUACAUAGGAUACUCUGCUUUGGAAGUGAGUCUGCUGGGAAAUUACUGCCCGCGUGCAGUGACUGUGGUCCUGGGGCGGUGCAGGAGCAGUAUAAAAGCGGGUCCUUCUCCUGACUCUCUCAUCCACUCCUCUUGCCUCCGUCUCCUUGGGAUCAAGGUGCAGCUCCAGCCACAAGACAUGUCCUGCUACAACCCGUGCCUGCCCUGCCAGUCCUCUGGCCCAACCCCGCUGGCCAACAGCUGCAAUGAGCCCUGUGUCAGGCAGUGCCAGGACUCCCAUGUUUACAUCCAGCCGUCCCCUGUGGUGGUGACCCUGCCCGGCCCCAUCCUCAGCUCCUUCCCGCAGAACACCGCCGUGGGCUCCUCCACCUCCGCUGCCGUUGGCAGCAUCCUCAGCUCUCAGGGAGUGCCCAUCAACUCCGGGGGCUUUGGCCUGUCUGGCUUGGGCAGCGGCAUCUGUGGCACGAGGAGGUGUUUCCCCUGCUAAAGCUGCUGGUGAUGGCCCUGGGGAAGGACCGCAGGGACACACAAGAUGGGACUGGUCUUGGGAGGGAGAACUGGGUUGUUGGUUUCAGAGGGGCUGAGCAACCCUGGUAUCUGUUGCAAAGGGACGGGGCCAGUCUGGGCUCUCAGGAAGCACGGCCCAUGCCGAUUUUCUCCUCUUCCAGUGCCUUCUGUUCCUCUUGUGUCCUUGUUGUCCUGUGCUCCUCUGGGCUGUGAGUUCCACAAAGUCAGCCUAGGGAGGACCUGCUGGCCGUUCCCCCUCUGUGGGACAGUCAGACGGAGACCUGGUUCAACCUCUUCCACAGCCAUAAGUUACAGAUUCCUGUCUGCCCCUGGUGCUUCCUGCUCCAGGAUCUCCAUUCCGAUCCACCGAUCCACCUCUUUCUCUCUUUUGCCUCAUUAAAGUUCUUCUGCACCUGA